ACUUAGUGGCAGACGGGUGAGUAACAUGUGGGUAUCUACCCUUUGGCCUGGAAUAACACGAGGAAACUUGUGCUAAUACCGGAUAAGUCUUUACGGAGAAAGCUUUAUGCACCAUUGGAUGAGCCCGCACUUGAUUAGUUUGUUGGUAGGGUAAUGGCCUACCAAGACUAUGAUCAAUAGCUGAUUUGAGAGGAUGAUCAGCCACAUUGGGACUGAGACACGGCCCAAACUCCUACGGGAGGCAGCAGUGGGGAAUCUUGCACAAUGGAGGAAACUCUGAUGCAGCGAUGCCGCGUGAGUGAAGAAGGCCCUUGGGUUGUAAAGCUCUUUCGUCGGGGAAGAAAAUGACUGUACCCGAAUAAGAAGGUCCGGCUAACUUCGUGCCAGCAGCCGCGGUAAUACGAAGGGACCUAGCGUAGUUCGGAAUUACUGGGCUUAAAGAGUUCGUAGGUGGUUGAAAAAGUUGGUGGUGAAAUCCCAGAGCUUAACUCUGGAACUGCCAUCAA
rnacentral:rRNA from 1 species